GGGGUUGUGGCUCAGUGGUAGAGCACUUGCCUAGCAUGUAUGAGGUUCUAUCUGGGUUUGAUCCUCAGCACCA
rnacentral:tRNA from 1 species